rnacentral:lncRNA from 1 species
CCUUGAUAGCUUUGUAACUUUGAAAUUCUUUCAAAAACUUUUCCAAGCUAUUAUGGGAGUUCUCUCUUUCUCUCUCUAAACACCUAACUAGUGAGAGAAAGUAUAGAAGUAGGAUUUUCCAAGGGUUUUAAAGUGAGAGAGUGGAAGAGCACAAGGGUUUAUGAAAGGGUGCACCAAAAGCAUGAAAAGUGGAGCUAUUUUGAGGGAGGUUAUAGAGGUUCAUAUCAAGCUUCUAUGGAGGUUGGAAGCAACGUGAAAGAGAAGAAGGAAGAAGAAGAAGAA